UACGUAGGGCGCAAGCGUUGUCCGGAAUUAUUGGGCGUAAAGAGCUCGUAGGCGGUUUGCCGCGUCUGCCGUGAAAGUCCGGGGCUCAACUCCGGAUCUGCGGUGGGUACGGGCAGACUAGAGUGAUGUAGGGGAGACUGGAAUUCCUGGUGUAGCGGUGAAAUGCGCAGAUAUCAGGAGGAACACCGAUGGCGAAGGCAGGUCUCUGGGCAUUAACUGACGCUGAGGAGCGAAAGCAUGGGGAGCGAACAGG
rnacentral:rRNA from 1 species